rnacentral:rRNA from 1 species
UACGUAGGGGGCGAGCGUUGUCCGGAAUUACUGGGCGUAAAGCGCACGUAGGCGGCUUUGUAAGUUAGAGGUGAAAGCCCGGGGCUCAACUCCGGAAUUGCCUUUAAGACUGCAUCGCUAGAAUUGUGGAGAGGUAAGUGGAAUUCCGAGUGUAGAGGUGAAAUUCGUAGAUAUUCGGAAGAACACCAGUGGCGAAGGCGGCUCACUGGCCCGAUACUGACGCUGAGGUGCGAAAGCGUGGGGAGCAAACAGG